GCAGUCGACGAACUCUGGUAUUGAUUGGUGCUUGCAUCAUGAUUUACAUUUGAGUGAGUGGCGAACUGGUGAGUAACACGUGGGAAACCUGCCCAGAAGCGGGGGAUAACACCUGGAAACAGAUGCUAAUACCGCAUAACAACUUGGACCGCAUGGUCCGAGCUUGAAAGAUGGCUUCGGCUAUCACUUUUGGAUGGUCCCGCGGCGUAUUAGCUAGAUGGUGGGGUAACGGCUCACCAUGGCAAUGAUACGUAGCCGACCUGAGAGGGUAAUCGGCCACAUUGGGACUGAGACACGGCCCAAACUCCUACGGGAGGCAGCAGUAGGGAAUCUUCCACAAUGGACGAAAGUCUGAUGGAGCAACGCCGCGUGAGUGAAGAAGGGUUUCGGCUCGUAAAACUCUGUUGUUAAAGAAGAACAUAUCUGAGAGUAACUGUUCAGGUAUUGACGGUAUUUAACCAGAAAGCCACGGCUAACUACGUGCCAGCAGCCGCGGUAAUACGUAGGUGGCAAGCGUUGUCCGGAUUUAUUGGGCGUAAAGCGAGCGCAGGCGGUUUUUUAAGUCUGAUGUGAAAGCCUUCGGCUCAACCGAAGAAGUGCAUCGGAAACUGGGAAACUUGAGUGCAGAAGAGGACAGUGGAACUCCAUGUGUAGCGGUGAAAUGCGUAGAUAUAUGGAAGAACACCAGUGGCGAAGGCGGCUGUCUGGUCUGUAACUGACGCUGAGGCUCGAAAGUAUGGGUAGCAAACAGGAUUAGAUACCCUGGUAGUCCAUACCGUAAACGAUGAAUGCUAAGUGUUGGAGGGUUUCCGCCCUUCAGUGCUGCAGCUAACGCAUUAAGCAUUCCGCCUGGGGAGUACGGCCGCAAGGCUGAAACUCAAAGGAAUUGACGGGGGGCCCGCACAAGCGGUGGAGCAUGUGGUUUAAUUCGAAGCUACGCGAAGAACCUUACCAGGUCUUGACAUACUAUGCAAAUCUAAGAGAUUAGACGUUCCCUUCGGGGACAUGGAUACAGGUGGUGCAUGGUUGUCGUCAGCUCGUGUCGUGAGAUGUUGGGUUAAGUCCCGCAACGAGCGCAACCCUUAUUAUCAGUUGCCAGCAUUAAGUUGGGCACUCUGGUGAGACUGCCGGUGACAAACCGGAGGAAGGUGGGGAUGACGUCAAAUCAUCAUGCCCCUUAUGACCUGGGCUACACACGUGCUACAAUGGAUGGUACAACGAGUUGCGAACUCGCGAGAGUAAGCUAAUCUCUUAAAGCCAUUCUCAGUUCGGAUUGUAGGCUGCAACUCGCCUACAUGAAGUCGGAAUCGCUAGUAAUCGCGGAUCAGCAUGCCGCGGUGAAUACGUUCCCGGGCCUUGUACACACCGCCCGUCACACCAUGAGAGUUUGUAACACCCAAAGUCGGUGGGGUAACCUUUUAGAACCAG
rnacentral:rRNA from 1 species